UACAGAGGGGGCAAGCGUUGUUCGGAAUUACUGGGCGUAAAGGGCGCGUAGGCGGCCUUCUAAGUCGAACGUGAAAUCCCCGGGCUCAACCCGGGAACUGCGUCCGAUACUGGAAGGCUUGAAUCCGGGAGAGGGAUGCAGAAUUCCAGGUGUAGCGGUGAAAUGCGUAGAUAUCUGGAGGAAUACCGGUGGCGAAGGCGGCAUCCUGGACCGGCAUUGACGCUGAGUGCGCGAAAGCCAGGGGAGCAAACGGG
rnacentral:rRNA from 1 species